rnacentral:rRNA from 1 species
AUUGAACGCUAGCGGGAUGCCUUACACAUGCAAGUCGAACGGAGUGGCGAAAGGGUGAGUAAUGUAUCGGAACGUGCCCCGUAGUGGGGGAUAACUACGCGAAAGCGUAGCUAAUACCGCAUACUAUUGGAGCGGCCGAUAUCGGAUUAGCUAGUGGGUGGGGUAACGGCUCACCAAGGCGACGAUCCGUAGCUGGUUUGGGAGGACGACCAGCCAAACGGGGACUGAGACACGGCCCAGAGGCCUACGGGAGGCAGCAGUGGGGAAUUUGGGACAAUGGGGGAAACCCUGAUCCAGCCAUCCCGCGGGUUCGAUGAAGGCCUUCGGGUGGUAAAGCACUUUUGGCAGGAAAGCGGUACCUGCAGAAUAAGCACCGGCUAACUACGUGCCAGCAGCCGCGGUAAUAC